rnacentral:lncRNA from 10 species
CUUUGACAGCUAACUCUCUGGAAUGUUGAGGUUGCAACUGGGUAUCGUGGACUUACUUCUGUGAUAUCUUCAAUGACCAGGGGCUUUGCGGAAGUUCAAUGGGAUUCUGGUUUUGUGAAGCAGUGGAUAUGCUGGGUUUGUAUAACAACAUGUGGAGCAUCAUGGGAAGAUGUCAUUCAAAUGCAAACAGUCCUUUCUACUGCCAUUGCCACGACGGUAGUCCAGUGCCUCAUGACCCCAAUCCUAGAACGAUGCAGUAGGCUCUCAGCUCUCUCAGCUCAGUGCUUUUCAAAUCCUGGAUGCAGAUGACGAUCAUCCAACUACAGAUUCUCAGGCCACCCCAGGCAUACCAAGUCAGAAUCCUUGGGGGCUAAAAAAAUAAGGAAAGAAAGAAAAAAAGGAAGAAAAAGAAACAGGCAGAAAUAGGUCCUUGUCUUGGAAGGAACACUGAGCAC